GCCCAGGUGGCGAAAUUGGCAGACGCGCUAGCUUCAGGAGCUAGUUCCCUCACGGGAAUGGAGGUUCAAGUCCUCUCCUGGGCA
rnacentral:tRNA from 2 species